rnacentral:rRNA from 1 species
AUACGAGGGGUGCAAGCGUUAAUCGGAAUUACUGGGCGUAAAGCGUUCGUAGGCGGUUUGUUAAGCAAGAUGUGAAAGCCCUGGGCUCAACCUGGGAACUGCAUUUUGAACUGGCAAGCUAGAAUACUGUAGAGGGUGGUGGAAUUUCCAGUGUAGCGGUGAAAUGCGUAGAGAUUGGAAGGAACAUCAGUGGCGAAGGCGGCCACCUGGACAGAUAUUGACGCUGAGGAACGAAAGCGUGGGGAGCGAACAGGAUUAGAAACCCUGGUAGUCC